UAAGGGCCAUUUUAAAAAAAAAUGAGGCAAAAGUGUGACAUGGGGGGUCCAAUUUCAAACUCAAUAUUUUGUAUUUCUUUUUGUCUUACCCUAUUAUCGAUACUUUAAAUUUUAUAAUUCCAAAGUUUCAGGCAGAAUGAAACAGACACAUUGAAUAAUCUUAAAUUUUAAUAACAUACAUCUCAAAAAAUUUGAACAGAAAC
rnacentral:lncRNA from 1 species